rnacentral:rRNA from 1 species
UACGGAAGGCAGCAGUGGGGAAUAUUGCACAAUGGGCGCAAGCCUGAUGCAGCCAUGCCGCGUGUAUGAAAAAGGCCUUCGGGUUGUAAAGUACUUUCAGUCGUGAGGAAGGUGUUAAGGUUAAUAACCUUAGCAAUUGACGUUAGCGACAGAAGAAGCACCGGCUAACUCCGUGCCAGCAGCCGCGGUAAUACGGAGGGUGCGAGCGUUAAUCGGAAUUACUGGGCGUAAAGGGCACGCAGGCGGUUAAUUAAGUUGGAUGUGAAAUCCCCGGGCUUAACCUGGGAAUGGCAUUUCAAGACUGGUUAGCUAGAGUCUUGUAGAGGGGGUAGAAUUCCAUGUGUAGCGGUGAAAUGCGUAGAGAUGUGGAGGAAUACCGGUGGCGAAGGCGGCCCCUGGACAAAGACUGACGCUCAUGUGCGAAAGCGUGGGGAGCAAACAGGGAUUAGAUACC